AUUAAGUCAGUUGUGAAAGCCCUGGGCUCAACCUGGGAACUGCAUCUGAUACUGGUAGUCUAGAGUUUAAGAGAGGGAAGUGGAAUUCCAGGUGUAGCAGUGAAAUGCGUAGAUAUCUGGAGGAACAUCAGUGGCGAAGGCGACUUCCUGGCUUAAAACUGACGCUGAGGUGCGAAAGCGUGGGUAGCGAACGGGAUUAGAUACCCCGGUAGUCCACGCCGUAAACGAUGUCAACUAGUUGUUGGUCUUAUUAAAAAGAUUAGUAACGAAGCUAACGCGAUAAGUUGACCGCCUGGGGAGUACGGUCGCAAGAUUAAAACUCAAAGGAAUUGACGGGGGCCCGCACAAGCGGUGGAGCAUGUGGUUUAAUUCGAUGCAACGCGAAGAACCUUACCAUCCCUUGACAUACAGAGAAGUUACUAGAGAUAGUUUCGUGCCUUCGGGAACUCUGAUACAGGUGCUGCAUGGCUGUCGUCAGCUCGUGUCGUGAGAUGUUGGGUUAAGUCCCGCAACGAGCGCAACCCUUAUCAUUAGUUGCUACCAUUAAGUUGAGAACUCUAAUGAGACUGCCGGUGAUAAACCGGAGGAAGGCGGGGACGACGUCAAGUCAUCAUGGCCCUUAUGGGAUGGGCUACACACGUGCUACAAUGGGGGGUACAAAGAGCAGCCAACUGGCAACAGUGAG
rnacentral:rRNA from 1 species